rnacentral:lncRNA from 1 species
ACAUUUCUGCUCAUGCUCCUUAUACUCUGCCCUUACCAUGAGAAGAUAUGCCUGGGCUAGCCCCUCUGAUCCCAGAAGGGGGAAGGUAGAUACAAGGUCAACCCACAGGUGCAUGAGUGAGCCCAGCUGAGUGCAGUCUUAGAGAUCAACUAAACCCUACAGGUAAGUGAGAUAUAACUGUUUAUUGAUUAUUGAGUCUGAGUUUUAGAAUGGUAUUCAAUGAGCAUUAUUGUAGCAACAUAUAACUGAUACAUGAGAUGGGUUGUGGAUUGAGAGGUAAGGUGAACCAAUAUUUUGCUUCCUGUGAUAAGAAUAUAAACACUACAGAGACACUCUCCUUAACCUUGUCUGAGGACAGCCAAAACUAUACAAAACAACUUCAAAGCCACAUCACAAAAGAAUUCCAAAGGACUUCAUCUUUCUUAAAGCUCCCCCAAAAAGUUCACUUUGCAAAUCUUAACACAGAGUUUGUUUCUCUGGGGAGUCAAUAUAAGACAGUUGGCAUGAAGAAUUGUUUAGGGAAGAAAACCAUAAAACAAGAUGUUGGAGGUGGAGCACUGGGGAGAGAACACAUGCUGUAGCAGUGCAGUUGCUGAAAAACACCGAUGAGAGAGCAGUGAAAGACGACUCACAGGAUGGUGAUCAUUCAGCAAUUCCUACUGGGGAAAAGGACAGACAACAACGUGGAGUGAGAGUGGGGUCAGAUGACUGUAUCAAUCAUGUGCUCAACACU